CUCGUAGGCGGCCAACUAAGUCGGACGUGAAAUCCCUCGGCUUAACCGGGGAACUGCGUCUGAUACUGGAUGGCUCGAAUCCGGGAGAGGGAUGCGGAAUUCCAGGUGUAGCGGUGAAAUGCGUAGAUAUCUGGAGGAACACCGGUGGCGAAGGCGGCAUCCUGGACCGGCAUUGACGCUGAGGAGCGAAAGCCAGGGGAGCAAACGGGAUUAGAUACCCCGGUAGUCCUGGCCCUAAACGAUGAAUGCUUGGUGUGGCGGGUAUCGAUCCCUGCCGUGCCGAAGCUAACGCGAUAAGCAUUCCGCCUGGGGAGUACGGUCGCAAGGCUGAA
rnacentral:rRNA from 1 species